rnacentral:rRNA from 1 species
UACGUAGGGGGCAAGCGUUGUCCGGAUUUAUUGGGCGUAAAGAGCGUGUAGGCGGCUUUACAGGUCCGUUGUGAAAACUCGAGGCUCAACCUCGAGACGCCGGUGGAAACCGUAAAGCUAGAGUCCGGAAGAGGAGAGUGGAAUUCCUGGUGUAGCGGUGAAAUGCGCAGAUAUCAGGAAGAACACCCGUCGGCGAAGGCGGCUCUCUGGGACGGUACUGACGCUGAGACGCGAAAGCAUGGGGGAGCGAACAGG